rnacentral:rRNA from 1 species
AGUGUAGGCGGCUUCGUAAGUCGGAUGUGAAAGCCCCGGGCUUAACCUGGGAAUUGCAUUCGAUACUGCGCGGCUAGAGUUUGAUAGAGGAAAGUGGAAUUCCAGGUGUAGCGGUGAAAUGCGUAGAUACCUGGAGGAACACCAGUGGCGAAGGCGGCUUUCUGGAUCAAAACUGACGCUGAGGCUCGAAAGCGUGGGGAGCAAACAGGAUUAGAUACCCUGGUAGUCC